rnacentral:rRNA from 15 species
AGGGCUCAACCUUGGAAUUGCCUUUGAUACUGCCAGUCUUGAGUUCAGGAGAGGUAAGCGGAAUUCCGAGUGUAGAGGUGAAAUUCGUAGAUAUUUGGAGGAACACCAGUGGCGAAGGCGGCUCACUGGCUCGAUACUGACGCUGAGGUGCGAAAGUGUGGGGAGCAAACAGGAUUAGAUACCCUGGUAGUCCACGCCCUAAACGAUGCUAACUCGAUGUUUGUGUAUGGCAUGAGCAUCCAAGGGAAACCGUUAAGUUAGCCACCUGGGGAGUACGUCGGCAACGAUGAAACUCAAAGGAAUUGACGGGGUCCCGCACAAGCGGUGGAGCAUGUG